UACUAUUACAGAUAUUGAAGGGACAAAGAUCAUGGGGUGAUAAAUUAUCAUCACGCCCCCCCUCCUACUUGUUCGGUAAUAUGAGAAACGAUAAUCUGCAGUAUCGAGUGAUCUGAAGUUGCUCUUAUAAAUGCACGUUUAAGCUCACUGCAAGUUCACCUAGGUUAGGCUAGCGUUACGAUUUGCGAGGCUCUGGAUAAAUUUAUUUUGGUGAGACUUUUUUUUCAGCGUACCACCACUCUUUUCCAAUAAUUAUAAUAAUACCCAACACUUGGCCACGGCC